rnacentral:lncRNA from 1 species
CGGGGAAGAACUGUUGGCCACAACAAAUUUUACUAACUGCCCUUGUCACCAAAAUGGGAUGCUGUGUCCUCGUAAAGUAUCAGCUUUUCUCUUUCUGAAAGAGAAGGUCUGGCUGGGGUGCCCAGGCUAGGCUCAAACAUAAGCCUUUGACUCAGUUUACCAAGUAGCUGGCAAAUGCUUCCUGCGGCCCUGGGCUUUGGAGGCUAGGUUUUAGCAAAUCAACAGGGAGAGGCCACUUGAAGAGGCUUCUCUUGACACAGCGCCUUGUUAAACAAGAGGGAAAAAUGGAAGAAAGCAGCUAGAACAUUCCAGAAGCUGGAAACAUUUGACCAAGAGCAAAUUGAGCAGAACACUUGUGUGGACAAUGCUAAAUGGACCAUCUACUAGAGUCUCAGCACUGUGAAUAUCAAGACAAGAAUUUGAAUCAUACCUUAAGUACAGUGCUGAAUUACUGAAGGC